rnacentral:rRNA from 1 species
CGGGUGAGUAAUGCCUAGGAAUCUGCCUGGUAGUGGGGGAUAACGUUCCGAAAGGAACGCUAAUACCGCAUACGUCCUACGGGAGAAAGCAGGGACCUUCGGGCCUUGCGCUAUCAGAUGAGCCUAGGUCGGAUUAGCUAGUUGGUGAGGUAAUGGCUCACCAAGCGACGAUCCGUAACUGGUCUGAGAGGAUGAUCAGUCACACUGGAACUGAGACACGGUCCAGACUCCUACGGGAGGCAGCAGUGGGGAAUAUUGGACAAUGGGCGAAAGCCUGAUCCAGCCAUGCCGCGUGUGUGAAGAAGGUCUUCGGAUUGUAAAGCACUUUAAGUUGGGAGGAAGGGCAGUAAGUUAAUACCUUGCUGUUUUGACGUUACCGACAGAAUAAGCACCGGCUAACUUCGUGCCAGCAGCCGCGGUAAUACGAAGGGUGCAAGCGUUAAUCGGAAUUACUGGGCGUAAAGCGCGCGUAGGUGGUUCGUUAAGUUGGAUGUGAAAGCCCCGGGCUCAACCUGGGAACUGCAUCCAAAACUGGCGAGCUAGAGUACGGUAGAGGGUGGUGGAAUUUCCUGUGUAGCGGUGAAAUGCGUAGAUAUAGGAAGGAACACCAGUGGCGAAGGCGACCACCUGGACUGAUACUGACACUGAGGUGCGAAAGCGUGGGGAGCAAACAGGAUUAGAUACCUGGUAGUCCACGCCGUAAACGAUGUCAA